GAUGAACGCUGGCGGCAUGCCUAAUACAUGCAAGUCGAACGAGAGGAAGGAAAGCUUGCUUUCCUGAAUCUAGUGGCGAACGGGUGAGUAACACGUAGGUAACCUGCCCAUGUGCCCGGGAUAACUUCUGGAAACGGAUGCUAAAACCGGAUAGGUAGCAGACAAGCAUUUGACUGCUAUUAAAGUGGCCUUGGCCAUGAACAUGGAUGGACCUGCGGUGCAUUAGCUAGUUGGUGAGGUAACGGCCCACCAAGGCGACGAUGCAUAGCCGGCCUGGAGGUGCGGACGGCCGCAUUGGGACUGAGACACGGCCCAAACUCCUACGGGAGGCAGCAGUAGGGAAUUUUCGUANAUGGGGGGAACCCUGAAAGAGCAAUGCCGCGUGAGUGAGGAAGGUCUUCGGAUCGUAAAGCUCUGUUGUAAGAGGAAAACGGCACUCAUAGGGAAUGAUGAGUGAGUGAUGGUAUCUUACCAGAAAGUCACGGCUAACUACGUGCCAGCAGCCGCGGUAAUA
rnacentral:rRNA from 1 species